AAGGUCACGUAUCGGAUUUCUGGCCGUAAGCGCGCGUAGGUGGUUAAUUAGGUCAAUGUGAAAUCCCCGAGCUUAACUUGGGAAUUGCAUUCGAUACUGGUUAACUAGAGUAUGGGAGAGGAUGGGAGAAUUCCAGGUGUAGCGGUGAAAUGCGUAGAGAUCUGGAGGAAUACCGAUGGCGAAGGCAGCCAUCUGGCCUAAUACUGACACUGAGGUGCGAAAGCAUGGGGAGCAAACAGGAUUAGAUACCCUGGUAGUCCAUGCCGUAAACGAUGUCUACUAGCCGUUGGGGGAUUUGAUCCUUUAGUGGCGCAGCUAACGCGAUAAGUAGACCGCCUGGGGAGUACGGUCGCAAGACUAAAACUCAAAUGAAUUGACGGGGGCCCGCACAAGCGGUGGAGCAUGUGGUUUAAUUCGAUGCAACGCGAAGAACCUUACCUGGCCUUGACAUAGUAGAGACUUUCCAGAGAUGGAUUGGUGCCUUCGGGAAUCUACAUACAGGUGCUGCAUGGCUGUCGUCAGCUCGUGUCGUGAGAUGUUGGGUUAAGUCCCGCAACGAGCGCAACCCUUUUCCUUACUUGCCAGCAUUUCGGAUGGGAACUUUAAGGAUACUGCCAGUGACAAACUGGAGGAAGGCGGGGACGACGUCAAGUCAUCAUGGCCCUUACGGCCAGGGCUACACACGUGCUACAAUGGUCGGUACAAAGGGUUGCUACACAGCGAUGUGAUGCUAAUCUCAAAAGCCGAUCGUAGUCCGGAUCGCAGUCUGCAACUCGACUGCGUGAAGUCGGAUCGCUAGUAAUCGCGGAUCAGAAUGCCGCGGGUGAAUACGUUCCCGGGCCUUGUACACACCGCCCGUCACACCAUGGGAGUUUGUUGCACCAGAGUAGUAGUCUAACCGCAAGGAGGACGCUUACCACGGUGUGGCCGAUGACUGGGGUGAGUCUAGAGGGAACGACACAUUAUAUAA
rnacentral:rRNA from 1 species